UCUGAGUUGAUUUUCUCUCAACUAAAACUAGCGCAAAUUUGAGCAUAAACAGUCCGUUAUAAAAUUCCCGCUCAAAGACACAGUGUACGGUUGUAAUAGCAACGCGCAUUAGCAUUUCAGUCUCAAGGGUCAGGCCUAAAGUUCACGUACCACGACCGUACACGUAUAAACGGUCAUCUGGCUUUCGUUGGCUUGUACAUAACAAGUGUAUACAGUUUCAAUCCGGGCUUUCGGGCCGUAUAGCUCCCAGGGUUUGGCGUGAUUUAUGGGAGUUUGACCAAAGUGUGCGGAGUAGGGUUCAGGGCCAGGUCAGCACUGUUACAAGAUCAAUGAAAAAUACGCGAACUAUAAAAGCCUUUUCUAAAAAGGGUCAUUUGUAGACUAUUUUUUUCGUGAAAAUAAGACAUUAUGUGGGUUGAAGAGCACGGGGACAUCAUAUUUACACUGUGUUCAAACUUGAUUAGUUUUAUAUAUUUCUCAACCUUAAAAACAUCGUUUCUUUCUCCAGGUAGGCAGUAUACAGGUAUGCUAUACGUGAGUGCACUGGCUGCAGAAUAUGGCAUGUUUAAACUUUUAACUUCAGCAGUCUUCGAGGGAGGAAGUUUCUAAUUAUUUUGAAAACCACCCCAUACAUCUCUUCAAGGUUGUUGCUGUGCCUGCAUGACAUGACUUCGCAUGAACUUUUAGAAAUGGCAGCCGAUUGUGCUUGGUUAUCCAGAAGGGCCAAGAUUCAAGAUUCGUGUCUUUGGAGAAGUGCCAUAUUGACAACCUUGCUGAACAAGGAAUCCACUUUUUUUCUACAUCUGGAUAAUCUUCUGUUAAAGGUUCCAUUAAAUGAAUGUUACUCUAAAACAUAGAUUGGGCAAUUAGUCAAUCUGCAUGGAGGUAUUCAAAGAAAAUCAUGUUGAAAUGUCAAUAUUUUAAAAUGCAGGUUUUUUGCGAGUUCCCUGUAUACAAAUAUAUCUUCACGAACAAACGUUAUUCAAGUGUCCCUUUCAAGUGUUAUUCUUUUUCAUAGACUCUGUAGCUACAAAAAAACCAAAACAAUUCCUUUGAGUUUUCUUUUGAAGAUCUUCCAUGGGAGAGAAAGAAAAUGAAGGAUCUAGAUAGAGGACAGAUUUAAAAAGCAUGUGAUUCAGUAGAUUAAAAGUUGUCGGAUCUAUUUUAUUUGUUCGAUGUGAAAGUCGCCUUCCUAUACUAUAUUUCUCAUCACGGACAGUUGAAAAUACUAAUGUUCAAAUACUAUUUGAAACCAUACUUUUGCUGGAAUGUACGUUACGUAUAGCACUGUGUAAAACCGGUGAGUGGCUAGGUCGCCGAUAAUAGCCCUUGCAUUCCGGCU